rnacentral:rRNA from 1 species
AGAGUUUGAUCAUGGCUCAGAUUGAACGCUGGCGGCAUGCCUAACACAUGCAAGUCGAACGGUAACGCGGAGAGCUUGCUCUCUGGCGACGAGUGGCGGACGGGUGAGUAACGCGUGGGAAUCUGCCCAGUAGUGGGGGACAACCCGAGGAAACUCGGGCUAAUACCGCAUACGCUCUACGGAGGAAAGCGGGGGAUCUUCGGACCUCGCGCUAUUGGAUGAGCCCGCGUCGGAUUAGCUAGUUGGUGGGGUAAUGGCUCACCAAGGCGACGAUCCGUAACUGGUCUGAGAGGACGAUCAGUCACACCGGAACUGAGACACGGUCCGGACUCCUACGGGAGGCAGCAGUGGGGAAUAUUGGACAAUGGGGGCAACCCUGAUCCAGCAAUGCCGCGUGUGUGAAGAAGGCCUGCGGGUUGUAAAGCACUUUCAGCAGAGAAGAAAAGCCUGGGGCUAAUAUCCCCGGGUCUUGACGUAACCUGCAGAAGAAGCACCGGCUAACUCCGUGCCAGCAGCCGCGGUAAUACGGAGGGUGCGAGCGUUAAUCGGAAUUACUGGGCGUAAAGCGCGCGUAGGCGGCUUGGUCAGUCGGAUGUGAAAGCCCCGGGCUUAACCUGGGAAUUGCAUUCGAUACUGCCGAACUAGAGUAUGGGAGAGGGAAGUGGAAUUUCCGGUGUAGCGGUGAAAUGCGUAGAUAUCGRAAAGAACACCAGUGGCGAAGGCGACUUCCUGGCCCAAUACUGACGCUGAGGUGCGAAAGCGUGGGGAGCAAACAGGAUUAGAUACCCUGGUAGUCCACGCCGUAAACGAUGAGAACUAGAUGUUGGGAGGGUUUAGCCUCUCGGUGUCGUAGCUAACGCGUUAAGUUCUCCGCCUGGGGAGUACGCCGGCAACGGUAAAACUCAAAGGAAUUGACGGGGACCCGCACAAGCGGUGGAGCAUGUGGUUUAAUUCGAUGCAACGCGAAGAACCUUACCUGCCCUUGACAUCCUCGGAACUUGUCAGAGAUGACUUGGUGCCUUCGGGAACCGAGUGACAGGUGCUGUCAUGGCUGUCGUC